rnacentral:lncRNA from 1 species
AGGCUUCUGAAUCAGAACUUGAUAAAAUUAUGAUUUUAUCUCUAAAAUAUAAUAAAUCUUUUUUCAAGCCAAAAUCAUUAGUAACCCCCUCAAAUAUUUUGUAAUCAUCAAAAUCAAUUUAAGGAGUAACAAUCUCUCCCUUUUUGAUGAUGACAAAAUACUUGAGCAAAAGCAUAUAUAAAGUAUUGAACAUAAAUUUCAAAUUUAUGA